AUGUAUCCUAUUGCUUGGGCUGUUGUGGAGAAAGAAAAUUAUGAGUCAUGGUUCUGGUUUCUUGCCAAGAUAAACCAGGACUUGAAAAUAAGCAAUCAAGGAGAUGGAUAUGUAUUUAUGUCAGAUGAACAAAAG
rnacentral:rRNA from 1 species